CGGGUGCUUACACAUGCAGUCGAACGAUGACUUCUGUGCUUGCACAGAAUGAUUAGUGGCGAACGGGUGAGUAACACGUGAGUAACCUGCCCUUAACUUCGGGAUAAGCCUGGGAAACCGGGUCUAAUACCGGAUACGACCUCCUGGCGCAUGCCAUGGUGGUGGAAAGCUUUAGCGGUUUUGGAUGGACUCGCGGCCUAUCAGCUUGUUGGUUGGGGUAAUGGCCCACCAAGGCGACGACGGGUAGCCGGCCUGAGAGGGUGACCGGCCACACUGGGACUGAGACACGGCCCAGACUCCUACGGGAGGCAGCAGUGGGGAAUAUUGCACAAUGGGCGAAAGCCUGAUGCAGCGACGCCGCGUGAGGGAUGACGGCCUUCGGGUUGUAAACCUCUUUCAGCAGGGAAGAAGCGAAAGUGACGGUACCUGCAGAAGAAGCGCCGGCUAACUACGUGCCAGCAGCCGCGGUAAUACGUAGGGCGCAAGCGUUAUCCGGAAUUAUUGGGCGUAAAGAGCUCGUAGGCGGUUUGUCGCGUCUGCUGUGAAAGCCCGGGGCUCAACCCCGGGUCUGCAGUGGGUACGGGCAGACUAGAGUGCAGUAGGGGAGACUGGAAUUCCUGGUGUAGCGGUGAAAUGCGCAGAUAUCAGGAGGAACACCGAUGGCGAAGGCAGGUCUCUGGGCUGUAACUGACGCUGAGGAGCGAAAGCAUGGGGAGCGAACAGGAUUAGAUACCCUGGUAGUCCAUGCCGUAAACGUUGGGCACUAGGUGUGGGGGACAUUCCACGUUUUCCGCGCCGUAGCUAACGCAUUAAGUGCCCCGCCUGGGGAGUACGGCCGCAAGGCUAAAACUCAAAGGAAUUGACGGGGGCCCGCACAAGCGGCGGAGCAUGCGGAUUAAUUCGAUGCAACGCGAAGAACCUUACCAAGGCUUGACAUGAACCGGUAAGACCUGGAAACAGGUCCCCCACUUGUGGCGGUUUACAGGUGUGCAUGGUUGUCGUCAGCUCGUGUCGUGAGAUGUUGGGUUAAGUCCCGCAACGAGCGCAACCCUCGUUCUAUGUUGCCAGC
rnacentral:rRNA from 3 species